rnacentral:rRNA from 1 species
AGUGAACGCUGGCGGUAGGCCUAACACAUGCAAGUCGAACGGCAGCACAGUAAGAGCUUGCUCUUACGGGUGGCGAGUGGCGGACGGGUGAGGAAUACAUCGGAAUCUACUUUUUCGUGGGGGAUAACGUAGGGAAACUUACGCUAAUACCGCAUACGACCUACGGGUGAAAGCAGGGGAUCUUCGGACCUUGCGCGAUUGAAUGAGCCGCUGUCGGAUUAGCUAGUUGGCGGGGUAAAGGCCAACGCAGGCGACGAUCCGUAGCUGGUCUGGGAGGACGAUCGGCCACACUGGAGCUGAGACACGGUCCAGACUCCUACGGGAGGCAGCAGUGGGGAAUAUUGGACAAUGGUCGCAAGCCUGAUCCAGCCGUACCGCGUGGGUGAAGAAGGCCUUCGGGUUGUAAAGCCCUUUUGUUGGGAAAGAAAAGCAGCAGGUUAAUACCCCGCUGUUCUGACGGUACCCAAAGAAUAAGCACCGGCUAACUUCGUG